rnacentral:rRNA from 1 species
CACGCAGGUGGCGAGAUAAGUUGGAUGUGAAAUUCCCGUGCUUAACAUGGGGACUGCAUCCAAAACUGGCAAGCUAGAGUACGGUAGAGGGUGGUGGAAUUUCCUGUGUAGCGGUGAAAUGCGUAGAUAUAAGAAGGAACACCAGUGGCGAAGGCGACCACCUGGACUGAUACUGACACUGAGGUGCGAAAGCGUGGGGAGCAAACA